CUUCCAGUAGCACCUUAAAGACCAACUCAAUUUGUUAUUGGUAUGAGCUUUUGUGUGGUAUUUGAAGAAGUGUGCAUGCACACGAAAGCUCAUACCAAUAACAAAUUUAAUUGGUCUCUAAGGUGCUACUGGAAG
rnacentral:miRNA from 1 species